rnacentral:rRNA from 1 species
AUUGGAAGUAAAAGUCGUAACAAGGCUUCCGUAGGUGAACCUGCGGAAGGAUCAUUAUUGAAUACGAUUGGUACUGAUGCUGGCUCUUAACUGAGCAUGUGCUCGUCCAUCUAUUUAUCUUCUCUUGUGCACAUUUUGUAGUCUUGAACGUACCUCUCGCAGUCAAAUGCGGUUUGGGAGCUUGGGCGCAAGCCCUUCUCCUGCUUCUUCAAGGCUAUGUUUUCAUAUACACUAUAAAGUUACAGAAUGUCUUUUAACGAUUGCGCUUGUCGUAGUCAUUAAACCUAUACAACUUUCAGCAACGGAUCUCUUGGCUCUCCUAUCGAUGAAGAACGCAGCGAAAUGCGAUAAGUAAUGUGAAUUGCAGAAUUCAGUGAAUCAUCGAAUCUUUGAACGCACCUUGCGCCCUUUGGUAUUCCGAAGGGCAUGCCUGUUUGAGUGUCAUUAAAUUAUCAACCUUGCUCGCUUUUACCGGCUUGAGUUAGGCUUGGAUGUGAGGGCUUGCUGGCUUCCUUUAGUGGAUGGUCUGCUCCCUUUAAAUGCAUUAGUGGGAUCUCUUGUGGACCGUCACUUGGUGUGAUAAUUAUCUAUGCCACUUGACCUUGAAGCAAGACUUAUGGGAACCCGCUCAUAACCGUCUUCGGACAACUUUUGACAUUUGACCUCAAAUCAG